UUGACUAUGAAUUAAUAUUUUUUGAGUUUUUAUCAGGAAAAAUGGCUUGACAUUGGAUCAAGCAUUUGAUGAAGUUUGAGAGAAAUGGAAUAGAAUAGGAGGGAGAAAUGAAUUGAUUUGUUUAUUGAGAAAAUACUCGACGUUGGAUCGAGUCAUAUUUUUUGUAUUUUUUGAAAUUGUUGAUUUUACUCUUGUGUUAGUAUCUAACUAAACAGUCAAGUAAUAAA
rnacentral:lncRNA from 1 species